CGCGGCCUAUCAGCUUGUUGGUGAGGUAACGGCUCACCAAGGCGUCGACGGGUAGCUAGUCUGAGAGGACGAAUAGCCACACUGGGACUGAGACACGGCCCAGACUCCUACGGGAGGCAGCAGCAGGGAAUCUUGCACAAUGGGCGAAAGCCUGAUGCAGCGACGCCGCGUGGGGGAUGAAGGCCUUUGUGUCGUAAACCCCUUUCAGCAGGGACGAAACUGACGGUACCUGCAGAAGAAGCCCCGGCCAACUACGUGCCAGCAGCCGCGGUAAGACGUAGGGGGCAAGCGUUGUCCGGAAUUAUUGGGCGUAAAGAGCUCGUAGGCGGUUGCGUAAGUCGGAUGUGAAAGCUCAGGGCUCAACCCUGAGAGGCCAUCCGAUACUGCGCUGACUUGAAUCCAGUAGGGGAGUGUGGAAUUCCUGGUGUAGCGGUGAAAUGCGCAGAUAUCAGGAGGAACACCUAUGGCGAAGGCAGCACUCUGGGCUGGUAUUGACGCUGAGGAGCGAAAGCAUGGGUAGCAAACAGGAUUAGAUACCCUGGUAGUCCACGCCGUAAACGUUGGGCACUAGGUGUGGGGCUCUAUCGAUGGGCUCUGUGCCGUAGCUAACGCAUUAAGUGCCCCGCCUGGGGAGUACGG
rnacentral:rRNA from 1 species